rnacentral:rRNA from 1 species
AUUGAACGCUGGCGGCAGGCCUAACACAUGCAAGUCGAACGAGUGGCGGACGGGUGAGUAAUGUCUGGGAAACUGCCUGAUGGAGGGGGAUAACUACUGGAAACGGUAGCUAAUACCGCAUACCAUCAGAUGUGCCCAGAUGGGAUUAGCUAGUUGGUGGGGUAAAGGCUCACCAAGGCGACGAUCCCUAUCUGGUCUGAGAGGAUGACCAUCCACACUGGGACUGAGACACGAUCCAGACUCCUACGGGAGGCAGCCGUGGGGAAUCUUGCCCAAUGGGCGCAAGCCUGAUGCAGCCAUGCCGCGUGUAUGAAGAGGGCCUUCGGGUUGUAAAGUACUUUCAGCGGGGCGGCGUUAACCGCAGAAGAAGCACCGGCUAACUCCGUGCCAGCAGCCGCGGUAAUAG